CCUACGGGAGGCAGCAGUGGGGAAUAUUGCGCAAUGGGCGAAAGCCUGACGCAGCGACGCCGCGUGAGGGAUGAAGGUCUUCGGAUCGUAAACCUCUGUCAGCAGGGAAGAACGGUCACUGUGCUAAUCAGCAGUGAAUUGACGGUACCUGCAAAGGAAGCACCGGCUAACUCCGUGCCAGCAGCCGCGGUAAUACGGAGGGUGCGAGCGUUAAUCGGAAUUACUGGGCGUAAAGCGCUCGUAGACGGUAUGUCAAGUCCAGGGUGAAGUCCCCGCGCUCAACGUGGGAAGUGACAUGGAAACUGCCUUGCUGGAGUGCGGAUGACGUAGGAGGAAUGUGUGGUGUAGCGGUGCAAUGCAUAGAUAUAACACAGAACACCGAUUGCGAAGGCAUCUCACGAAUCCGCGAUUGACGCUGAUGCACGAAAGCGUGGGUAGCAAACAGGAUUAGAUACCCGUGUAGUC
rnacentral:rRNA from 1 species